rnacentral:pre_miRNA from 1 species
UAUAAUAUUUUAACUCUUCGUUUUAUUUAAAAUUUGUUUGCGAUUAAUAUUUUUAUUCUUAGUAUAUGAUAAAACAUGAAUAGUACUUUAUGCGUGACUAAUUUUUUAAAAUUUUUACACAAAAUUUUCAAAUAAGACGAAUGGUCCAACGUUAGAAACGGAAAAACA